rnacentral:rRNA from 1 species
CGUAGCCUACGGGGCGCAGCAGUGGGGAAUAUUGCACAAUGGGGGAAAGCCUGAUGGAGCAACGCCGCGUGGGUGGAGAAGGUGUUCGGAUCGUAAAACCCUGUUGUUAGAGAAGAAAGUGCGUGAGAGUAACUGUUCACGUUUCGACGGUAUCUAACCAGAAAGCCACGGCUAACUACGUGCCAGCAGCCGCGGUAAUACGUAGGUGGCAAGCGUUAUCCGGAUUUAUUGGGCGUAAAGGGAACGCAGGCGGUCUUUUAAGUCUGAUGUGAAAGCCUUCGGCUUAACCGGAGUAGUGCUUUGGA